rnacentral:misc_RNA from 1 species
CUCUCAAACUGCCACGUGUUACCCAUUCCUGCGGUAGCACCACCAUGGCCACCACCAACCCCAGCACCACCAUCGCCCACACUAGGAAAAGGCCACACCCCUCUCCCAAGCCCACAGCCCAUGUCCUCAAACCCAGACCCUAGACCAAGCCCAAAUCCUCCAAGCGCCAAAAAUCCAGGCCCCUGAGUAUUCAACAAAGAAGUAAAGCUCCCGCACACUGUAGAACCACCUGUGGUGCUGCUCCCGCUAUCCUUCCCAUGGCCACCGCCGCCACCACAGCCAAACUGCACGGACGUUCCUUGAUUGGUCAUGAGUGGCACCAGUACAGGGGUAGCGGGAAAUGAGAAAUUAUCAGCUGCUGUGGCGGUGAUUGUAGCAGCAGUACGUGACCGCUUGGCAUUCUUGCGGGUGCCGCCACCAACAGGGAUGUCACGUAGGGUGCCACCAUGGGUCCAAUAACGGCGGCAAGACUUACA